GCACGGGCAUCGCGGGCUGGAGCCACGUCCUCCUCCGUUAAAAACCCUCCCUGCUCCUCUCCAGGCUCUCCUUGCCGCCACGCAGACCUGCGGCAGCUGCAGCCCGAGCAUCACCUUCUGCCUCCGCCGGCUGAUCAGAGGCUUUUUCGUCGACAGCCAAAGCCUCGCCUCGCACCUGCACGGGGAGCACGGAGGAGCGGAGCAGCUGCGAGCCAGCUGCUGCGGGUGACGGCGGCGAGGGGGACGUCGCGGUUUGGGCUUCGGCUGCCUUGCAUCCCUGGUCUGGCACCGGCCUGGCAUCGCCUGCCCUUGGCGGGGACCGUGAGGACAGCCAGGGAGGGACGGAGGAGAGAAAGCAGAGGAAUCACCUUAGGACAGCCCGACAACCCCGCUCUGCCCACGCCAGCCCUGCAGACCCCAACACGAGGGGAGCUCGACCCUAAAUCUGCGCUGAAACGGAGGCUUCACAUUCGCAGUAGCGGCUCAGCUCCCCGUGGGCUGUGCACUGCAAAUAGGCUGGGGGGGGGGAAAUCUGCCUUCUUUUCUCUGCUCUUUCCUUGUGCUCAAGAGAGAAGAAAAGGAAUAAUAAAAAAAAAAUGUUCAGGCUUUUUUUUUUUUUUAAACUCCCCACUUUUUUUUUUUUUUAUCCGAACACUUUCAAAGUUAAUUUCAAAAAGCUGGGAACACUUGAUAGUUUUAAUUAAUCUGCCGCCUAGGGAAAUACAAUUUGUGUAGCCAGAGCCUUUCGCCUGCCUCCGGAUAGCUAUCUCGCUCCGGGUAGCGCUGACGGUGGCAGCGUGGCAGCGAUUGCAGCGGUGGCUCCGGCGCUUUUAUUCCACUCGAUCCGAGAGCGACGUGCGGCGCGUUCGUCCUGCCUGGGCUGUGCUCUGCCGGCAGGGCCAUGAUCCUGCACAGCCCUGUGGGAUGCUGAGCCUCCCCGUCUCCCCGCAGCAGCUCCCCUGGUGGAAACCACGCGGGAACAGCGUGUUCGCCCCGAGUUCGGAUCAAUGGAAAACCAAAUAUUGAAUGAUUUUCUCCCCCCUCCCCCAACCCCCCCGGCUACUGGCCAGGUCUAAUUCAAGACGCGCACUCAGGAACAUGUUAAGAACACCGUGCUGCGUUUGAAAUACAACAUCACGUUGAGGAUUAUUUAUUUAUUUUAUCUGCUAACUCACUUUAAUGAAUCAGAAGCGAGUAAGAAGCAGGGCAAAUCACGCUGUCUGGCUUGCUGCGUGCCACCGGUUGGGGCAAAAGCAGGGGCUCAGCACCAGGGGAGCCCUGAUCCCUGCACCAGCUUGGUGACCCAAACGGCCGGCACUUUCCAGCCCAGGGAGCGCCGUCUGCAGCCCCAGGUCCUCGGUGGGCACAGGGCAGCGAGGAGCAGGGCGCUGCAAACCCCGGGGGCACGGCGGCCGGGCUGAGGUCCACGUUGCUGCGAGCCCCGGCCCUUCUUAGCCACACUUGGUCUCCCACGUGGAAACUCAUCCCCGUUCUCAAGAAUUUGC
rnacentral:lncRNA from 1 species